rnacentral:lncRNA from 1 species
CAAAUAUGUAACACAUAAACAAACGACAACCACUGAAUUACAGGCUCCUGACUUGGGACAGGCACAUACAUAAAUAAUGUGGCGGGGGUAAACAUGUUAGCGGGAUCCCAACUCUCCCCUAACCUGGGACAGUGGUAUAACAGUACAACAUAAGAAGGAACUAUAAAAAUCAGUUGAAAAAGGCUUAACUCAUCAGAUGUACAAAAAUACAUGU